rnacentral:rRNA from 1 species
UACGUAGGGGGCAAGCGUUGUCCGGAUUUAUUGGGCGUAAAGAGCGUGUAGGCGGCUUUACAGGUCCGUUGUGAAACUCGAGGCUCAACCUCGAGACGCCGGUGGAAACCGUAAGGCUAGAGUCCGGAAGAGGAGAGUGGAAUUCCUGGUGUAGCGGUGGAAUGCGCAGAUAUCAGGAGGAACACCAAUAGCGAAGGCAGCUCGCUGGGACGUUACUGACACUGAGGCGCGAAAGCGUGGGGAGCGAACAGG